GGACGCCGGGGUCGCACGGGCUUUCAGGAAGGGUUGUCGGUUAGAACUGGCCCGUAUGUUGACUCUUUAUAACUGGUUGCAGGACCCGUCUAGGGCAGGGUAGGAGACUGGAGACGGGGCACAGCGUCUGGGAAGAGCCGGCACCAGAGUGGCUGGGGCACUUCUAAGGUUCUUUGGGGAUAGGAGGGUCUUUGGCAUUUGUUAUUUACUCAUGGCCUAGGACACUUAAAAGGAUGUCCAUGCUAGUCACCCUUUUCUUGUACUCCACGUUCUCCUAACAUUUCUGACUCAGUUGUGUCAUCUGUAAAAUGGGAACAUUUCUAUAUGCCUUUUGCAUUUGAGCAACUAUUUGAAGAUUAUAGGUCAAACAGUCUCAACCUGAGCUCAGAUCCCGUCCUACUUUUGCUGUGCACCGAGCUGAAGUGGGAUAUAAACUGACUGGCUUUCUGACUACACAUGCCUUCCAACUAGGUUGGGCCCCUGCUGCUUCGGUUCCUUCAUAGGAGGUUCAACUCAAGUGUUUUACCAGGAGGACUGCAGAGGACCAUGAAAGCGCUCCCUCAUAGUCAACUUGCAAAAGAACCCUGGCCCUGAUCAGUCUUCUCCCACCCUCUCAUUAUCCUCCGAGACCUGAGCCACUAGUCUCCACAGUUUCAACUCCUCGGGACUGAGGUAGAUGGUAUGGUGAGGCCUUUUGUCAGCCUCUUGCUCUUAAACUCAGCCCAUGACUGGGCUGAUAACUUCCAACUCUAUUGAGGCCAGAGCCAUGAUGGUAACAUGAACAGAGCCUAGGAGGACAGUGCCUGCGCAGGACAUCGUGAUCACUCACAGCACUCACGUGCUCUAGCAUCCAGUGGAUGCGCUUAAAUUUUAUUUUUUUAGCUUAACAUUUCAUAACCUCAUCAAACCAUACAUCACCAGUCAUAACCUACCAUUUUAAAGGGCAGACAAAAAGGUCUAUUCUCAACAACAAUCUUGCAAUUUUAGUACUGAAACCAUUUACAAAGGAGGAAACAAAAGCUAUGAGAGGCAAAUUUUUGCCUACAGAUAAAAAAUCCCAUUUCCUGUCACUUCUGAAUUCUGACUGGGGUAGCCAGAUAAUGUAGCCAUGAUGGAGGCUGUGUUCCAAUAAAACUUUCUGCACAUUAUUAAGACAACAGAGGACCACAGUUCCCCUUACAAGAUUGCAGACCCACUUUUUGGGAAUUCAGUAGAAAGCUCUUCUCAUGGGCUUAGAACCCAUAAAUGCAUAACCUUUCACGUGCUAGACCAUCACAGCACCCAGACCCACCGACAGAGCAAACCCUUCAGGUCUGGUGCCUGACCACUGCUCGAUCUGCACUCCCUGCCCACACAUGAAGCCACAAAGCAGUGUCUCCUGUUAGCAUGAGCUUCCAUGCACUCUUAUUAAGUAAGAACAAACCUCUGUGAAGCGUUUAUUUUUUAUUUGUAAUUUUAAGCAUAAUUAAAAUCAAUGCAGAAAAAUAUCAGCUACAUUGGGUAAAGGAAGUGAGUGAGUAUCUGCUUGUAAGCCCGUGAAGACAGCGUUAGGAGAGCACGUCACUACGUGAAAAACAGAAUGGGAGGGUGAACUGUGAAGGCCCCGCAUGCUGCGCAUGCUCUACUGGCUUCCGAAGGCAUUCAGGGGGUCAUCAAAAAUGCUGGCCACUUUGUGCUCAGAUCUUUGUUCAGAUGCUGCCUCUGCAGAUUGGCUUUUGGGUUUGGAUGCUUUAGCCUGGAGGCCAGAGGAGAAAAUGUCAUCUUUAAAAAGAAAAAAAGAAAGAUGUUAAGACAGGCAAACAAGAAAAUGGGAACUUGAGACACAUGCACACAAACUGUAAAGCCCAAUUCUAAUAACACACUAAGACCACCAACAUCGAAGUCAAACCUCUUAGAUUCUGGGCCUGGCUCAGUUGGUGGCACCCAACUUUUGUAAGGACAUAUGAACGAACAUCGGGUUCUUUCUGAACAUAAGUUUCUAGCUACAGAAGUGUGUCUGCACUUGAAGUCAGAAACAGGAGGGUGGAGCGGUUCUCCACCUCAGCGAGGGCCUCACCACCUGGAACUGCUCUUUCUCUCUUUCUGCCUUCUUUUCACUCUGGAUUUUAAGAAGAGUAAGAAUGUACAAACAGAAAUCCAAUAUAGGAUGCGCUCAGAGCGCACAUCUCAGUGGUAAGAAUGGAGUCUGGUUCCACUCAUAUUAGUGCUUCAGACUCAGCUUAGCUAUGCUCUGCUGCUUACCACGUAAUUUUAUCAGCAGGGUUCUACUGCAUCAAAUUCAUCCUGUGUACGUAAAGACAUAAUGAAAGACCAUGGCAUUAUCUAUAUCAAACUAGAGAUCUAGAUUGUCAAUGUGCUAAUGGCUAACACAAAGCAGUAUUACUCAAAACACUGAAAUCAAACACAUUUAAACUGACUGGAAGUAGAAAAGGUGCACUUGCUUACUACUAUUCCUAUGUAAAUCACAGUCUUAGAGGAUGCACAGCAAACUUAACACUGGCUAGCUUUAAAGCUUUAAUCCCUCCACUUAACAAAAUGUUCUAAAUCGUAUGACUGCCACAUAAGCAUGUAUUACAAUUUAAUAAUGAAAGAAAGUCAUGCCUGUAACCCCAGCUAAGAUCAGGAGUGCACAGCACAGGCAGCCAGGGCCACAGCAAGAUCAUGUGUCAGAAAAUGAACAAAGGAAAUAAGCAGCCCAAGUCUCUUGUAACUCUGUGCUGUAAAGACAGACAUGUGAGGACGGAGCCCAAAGUCUGCCAGGGAGACAGAGUCAGCGUGGCUCUGCAACUCAAAGCCCAGGCCUGGAGGGACAAAGAGAGGACGUGUGUAUUUUGGGCUUCAGUCUGGGUUGACCAACACAGGAUGUAUCAGGAGGCAAACUUUAUAGCUAUCAGCAUCUGGCUUGCUUGUUAGCUGAGGAGUGGGUACAGCGUGUUCAGAUCAGCAUCUGGCUUGCUUGUUAGCUGAGGAGUGGGUACAGCGUGUUCAGAAACACAGAGGAACCCAGGGAGCUGCCGAGUCUCACUUGUGACUUCGCGGCACAGCCCUGCUCUCUGUUACUGACCCUCCAGUCUCUUGGCUGCUGUCCCUCAUUGUCCAGCUAGAAUCCUGACUCAACCAGCUUCAUGGCCUGCUGAUAGCACAUGGAAGAAGUUUCUGAUAGACUCUCCUUUGAAAGUCAUUGGUGUUGUCAGAUGACAGCAGAAGUUAAUUUCUUCUUCAGGUCAAGUGCUGAGCACCGUCUUAAACCUUGAUACUCACUCAGCAUAGCCUAUGGCUGCCGCAUGAAAAUGACUAGUCCACCUACAUAUCAUGUGCUUAGACUAACAGCAAGGAGAACCUACUGGGGAACAAAGUGCAGGAAAGGACCAACAUGACUGACAGCAAACAGCCCCCAAGCAGUGGCGUGAUCUAGAUAAACACUCACCUGUGUCAUCAUCAAACAUGGACUUGGCUGCAACUUUCUUUUUGGACUUUUCUUUGGGUUUUACAGUUAAGUCAGCGAAGAUAUCAAUAUUAUCAUCAAAUAAGUUGGGCUCCAAAGUCCUCCCCUUCUCUCUCUUUUUUGGAAAAGGUUUAAUUGCUUCCGUAGCAAAUAUAUCAUCCUAGUUAAGUCCAAAAACAGUUUAUUCUUUGUUGUAAAUAAACGCAUUUUUAAAACU
rnacentral:lncRNA from 1 species